GUCGUGCAAUUCGAUAUGAUUUGAUAAUAUGAUGUUUAUGUUUAUUUAUAGGUUUAUUUUAAUGAAAUAUCUUAUUGUUAUUGUAUUGAUUAUUGAUUUAAUUAUUUUAUGAUAGUUUAAUUGUACUGUAAAGGGUAUCUUAUAUUUAUAUAAAGUAAAUUUUGUUUAUUGUACCUUGUGUAUCAGGGUUUAUUUAAAUUAUUUAUGUAUUUUAUUUUUCCCGAUUUUAGGAGAGUUAAUAAGUUAUUAUGGUUAUUGUUUAAUAAAUAUCAGUAAUAUUUAUUGGUGGUGAAAUGUUAUGUCGAUCUUAAGGGUGUCUGGUUUCUUGGGAAAUAAAUUUAAUUUAUGUAUUUUUUGUUAGAUUUUAUUAGUUUAUAAUAUCUACUUUAAUUUAUGCGAAUAUCUUAGGGGAUUAUCUUUAAGAUAUAAUUUUAUAAUUUAUUUUUCUUUUAGGUUGUGUUGGGUUUAGGAAUAAUUAUUAUUUUAAGUAUGUUGAAAUAUAAUUUUUUUAUUAAGUGGAUUUUCUUGGGAUGAAUUUAGGUUAUUUACUGAGAUGUUGUUUUUAAUAAGUUUAUAUUUUUAUUUAUGAUGGAAUUAGUAUAUUUUGUUUUAAGUUGUAUUUUGAUUUAUGUUAAGUUAUAAUUAGGAAUUCGGCAAAGUUGAUUUAUUCGUUUGUUUAACAAAAACAUUUCUUCUUGAUUUUAAUCUGAAGUAUGACCUGCCCGCUGAUUAAUAUUGAAGGGCCGCGGUAUUUUGACCGUGCGAAGGUAGCAUAAUCAUUAGUUUUUUAAUUGAAGGCUGGAAUGAAUGGUUGGACGAGAUAAAGGCUGUCUUGUUAUUAGUGUUUUAGAAUUUAACAUUCAAGUUAAAAGGUUUGAAUGUUGUUAUGGGACGAGAAGACCCUAUAGAGUUUAAUAAUAUGAAUACUGUAUUUGUGUUGGGUUAUUAAUUUAGAUUUUAAUAUUAUUUUGUUGGGGCGAUAGUGAGGAUAAAGUAACCCUUAUUUAUAUUAUUGGUACUGAUUUGUAUUAUUUUGAUCCAUUAUUUGAUGAUUAUAAGAUUAAAUUACCUUAGGGAUAACAGCGUAAUUUUUUUGGAGAGUUCUAAUUGAUAAAAAAGAUUGCGACCUCGAUGUUGGAUUGAAGAUAAUUAUUGGUGAAGAAGUUAAUAUAAUUAGGUCUGUUCGACCUUUAAAAUCUUACAUGAUCUGAGUUCAAACCGGUGUGAGCCAGGUUGGUUUCUAUCUAUAAUGUAUUAAAUAUUUUAGUACGAAAGGACCAAGUAUUUAGAAUAAUUUUUUGUUUAUUGAUUAUUAGUAAUUAUUUUGGCAGAUAAGUGCAACGGAUUUAGAAUUCGUGCAUGUAGUAA
rnacentral:rRNA from 1 species